CAGGCCUAACACAUGCAAGUCGAACGGGGUCUUCGGACCCAGUGGCGAACGGCGGAGUAAUACAUAAGCAACGUGCCCUAAAGACUGGGAUAAUCAUUGGAAACGAUGGGUAAUACCAGAUGUGGUCUUCUCUUGGCAUCUUGAGAAGAUUAAACGGUUUUUCGCUUUAGGAGCGGCUUAUGGCCUAUCAGGUAGUUGGUGGGGUAACAGCCUACCAAGCCGACGACGGGUAGCGGGUCUGAGAGGAUGAUCCGUUCGAGUGGGACUGAGACACGGCCCACACACCUACGGGUGGCAGCAGUUGGGAAUCUUGCACAAUGGGGGAAACCCUGAUGCAGCGACGCCGCGUGGAGGAUGAAGGGUCCAGGCCUGUAAACUCCUUUUGACGGGAAGGACUUAGGACGGUACCCGUUGAAUAAGGACCGGCUAACUACGUGCCAGCAGCCGCGGUAAGACGUAGGGUCCAAGCGUUGUCCGGAUUUACUGGGCGUAAAGAGCGCGUAGGCGGUCUGUUAAGUGUGAAGUGAAAUCUCCAGGGCUCAACCCGGAAACUGCUUCGCAUACUGGCAGACUGGAGGGAUGCAGAGGUUUGUGGAAUUCCUGGUGUAGCGGUGAUAUGCAUAGAUAUCAGGAGGAACACCCAUGGCGAAGGCAGCAAACUGGGCAUCAUCUGACGCUGAGGCGCGAAAGCGUGGGUAGCAAACAGGAUUAGAUACCCUGGUAGUCCACGCCCUAAACGAUGGAUACUAG
rnacentral:rRNA from 1 species